GUUGGUUGGGGUAGGGGGUGGGGGACAGGGUCAGCCCCACCAGAACCAGUGACCAAGUGGGGAGGGGAAAUUCCCCUGAGGAACCCUGGAGUGAAGUUCCUACAAGGAGGAGGAAGAGUUGCUAGGUGGACCAAACUACAGACAUCUACUAUAGUCAUGUGGUGAACUUGGGCAAGGUCACGCCAGGAGCCCAGUUUCCCAGUUCCUAGUUCUCUGUGCACAACCAGGACCCCAGCUCUGCUGGUUGCCUAGGAACCCACUUUUAAGAAAUCACAAAAUGUAAACACAGACUAAAGGAGAAGUAAUCAGAGGACAAUCUUACACGAAGGGGAGAGGUUGAGAAGGCUCCCGGAAAAACGCUCAACUUUUGGACUCUGUUACCAUAUUCACCUUGUCAAAAAGUUUUUAAACUGAUGAAUUACAUUCCAAAGGACUGAAAUAAUUUGCAGAUGUGAUCGAGGAAAUGCUGUUAGUAAUCUUUGAGAAAUUGUAGCAAGUGGGAAUGGCUAGAAGAUUGUACUUGGGCAAAUGUUUGUUGCUGUUUUAGUUGUUCAGUGGUGUCCAACUCUUUGCAACCGCAUAGAUUGUAGCCCACCAGGCUCCUCUGUCCAUUGGAUUUUUCCAGGUGGAUUCUUUACCACUGCAGCACCUGGGAAGUGUCUCUCACCCACCUCCAAGUCUAUAGAUUGACUCCAGGAGAAGAAGCUGAGAGUCAAGCAAGGAUCCUUCAUCAGCGCAAUGAAGAGUUGACUUUCUAGUUGUGGCAUGCGGACUUAGCUGCUCCAGGCAUGUGGGGUCUUAGUUCCCUGACCAGGGAUUGAACCCCAUCCCCUGCAGUACAAGGAGAAUUCUUAGCCACUGGACCACCAAGGAAGUCCCUGGUCAUUCGAUAUUCAGUUAAAAUAUUCUAUUUCUAGAAGCUUGCCAAAGAUUGUCUUGUUCUUUAGUUUAGAACAGAGAUCUACAAACUGUUUAGAUCAAGGGCCAGAUAAUAAAUAUUUUAGGCCUCUUCCUCAGUGAUUCAACUCUGCCACUAGAGGCCCCAAACAGCCACAGACAAAACAUAAAUGAAUGAAUGUAGCUGACUUUCAAUUCAGUUUAUCAACAUGGAAACUUGAAUUUUAUAUCAUGUAUUAAAAAUUAUUCUUCUUUUGAUUUAAAAGAAAUCAAUUUUAUUUUUUAUUUUUAAAAAUAAAAACCCUUCUUAGCUCACUGAUUGUGAAGUGAAUGUCUUUGUGGUAGUAAAAGAAAUCCAUUUGCUUUUUAAAUUUUAAAUGUUUACUUAGCUUUCUGAAUAGGUAAUUUACCAUGGGUCAGAAUUCAGAAGGUACAAAGAAAAAUAUUCCCUGAA